rnacentral:rRNA from 1 species
UACAGAGGGUGCAAGCGUUGCUCGGAAUUAUUGGGCGUAAAGGGUAUGUAGGCGAUUUUUAAAGGCUUCGGGAAAUUGCAAUUCGAAAAAGUUGCGUGGCCGAAGAGUAAAAAAUUUGAAAAAUGUUAAGAUUGGCAGAAUUACUAAUGUAGAGGUAAAAUCCGAUAAUAUUAGUAGGAAUACCAAAGGCGAAAGCAGCUUUUCGAACAUUUUUGACGCUGAUGUACUAAAGCAUGGGGAUCAAACAGG